rnacentral:rRNA from 1 species
CUUAGUCUAAAACCCCGAAACUUAGUGAGCUACUCCAAACCAGCAUAACCAUUUAGUGCCUACCCGUCUCUGUUGCAAAAGAGUGGGGAGAGUUUUGAGUAGAGGUGACAAGCCUACCGAACUGAGUUAUAGCUGGUUUUCUGAGAAGUGAAUAUAAGUUCAGCCUUUAAAAUUCUCCAUUUCCUUACCUUUUAACAGAACAAAAGAAUAAAAAGAAAUUUAAAGAGUUAAUUAAAGGGGGGACAGCCCCUUUAAUAUAAGAAACAACUACUACCAGAAGGGUAAAGAUCACAUAUAAUGAAGGUCAAUUACUUAUGUAGGCCUAAAAGCAGCCACCCAAUCAGAAAGCGUUAAAGCUCAUGUAAUAUUUCUCUAAAAAU